AUUGAACGCUAGCGGGAUGCCUUACACAUGCAAGUCGAACGGAGUGGCGAACGGGUGAGUAAUGUAUCGGAACGUGCCCAGUAGCGGGGGAUCACUACGCGAAAGCGUAGCUAAUACCGCAUACUAUUGGAGCGGCCGAUAUCGGAUUAGCUAGUUGGUGGGGUAACGGCCCACCAGGGCGACGAUCCGUCGCUGGUUUGAGAGGACGACCAGCCAGACUGGGACUGAGAAACGGCCCAGACUCCUACGGGAGGAAGCAGUGGGGAAUGUUGGACAAUGGGGGAAACACGGAUCCAGCCAUCCCGCGGGGGCGAUGAAGGCCUUCGGGUGGUAAAGCACUUUUGGCAGGAAAGCGGUACCUGCAGAAUAAGCACCGGCUAACUACGUGCCAGCAGCCGCGGUAAUUC
rnacentral:rRNA from 1 species